rnacentral:rRNA from 1 species
UACGGAGGAUCCAAGCGUUAUCCGGAUUUAUUGGGUUUAAAGGGUGCGUAGGCGGCUUAUUAAGUCAGGGGUGAAAGACGGUGGCUCAACCAUCGCAGUGCCCUUGAUACUGAUGAGCUUGAAUACACUUGAGGUAGGCGGAAUGUGACAAGUAGCGGUGAAAUGCAUAGAUAUGUCACAGAACACCAAAUUGCGAAGGCAGCUUACUAAGGUGCAAUUGACGCUGAGGCACGAAAGCGUGGGGAGCGAACAGG